rnacentral:rRNA from 1 species
AUGAGCACUGGUCGACCGCUGCCACCUACAGAAGAGGGCCACCCGAAGCACCAUCACGAGCUGCCCGCGGAUGAGCAGAUGUUGGGAUGCAACCAGCCGUCGCCGCCGCCAACCCGCUCCACAACGAUACUCCACAGCCACCGCCGUCAAGCCCCCACGCGGUUGCGAGGGCCACCACCACGCUGCUGCAGGGCAUCCCCGCCUAGUGACCGAGCCUGGCCUCUGCCACCGCCCCGCGCCACGACGCCAUCGCUCGGGAACGCCCGCCCGGGCCGAGCCCCCACGAGCGGGGAGGAGAAAGGGCCUCACCGCCCCCAACACCCGGGCUUUGCCCCGCGGCGGGGGGAAGGAACGGUGGGAGGGAAAUGCGUGCCGACGGCUAGGGUUAGCCCCUCAGUCGCUCGCGGGAGCGACGCGAUGGAAGGGGAAAGUUGGACUCGAUUACUUAGUUUGUUUGGACGAUGA